ACUCAUAGAAUGGCAGCACUCCUGCCUCAGAAUCAACCCUUGGGACAUUCGGAUCUGGCUAAAAGGUCCAUGAGAGUCUCACAGGCAUGGAAAGCCAUGACACGGUGGCAAAAAACAAUCUAAAUGAAAGAUCCUGGUGAACAAGACCCCAGCAGAAGGAACAGGCCAUCAAGGAGAGAGGCGCCUUUCUCUGAAGGGAGGAAGGAACCUCCACUGUGAUAUGGCCUUGACUAAACAAGUUCAGAGUCGGUGAACUCAAGGGGCUUCCAUAGCCUAGACAGCUCAUAGCAUGAGUCUUGGGUGAUUGCUGACGUCAUAAAUGAGAGUGCCAAGUGUUAAAUCAACAAUGGGACUCACUGGGUACAUGCUCCCCACGUAGGAUCUCUGUCCUUAAUGUGUUUUACUAUAAAACUUAAAAACAACACUACUAGUUGAACAAUACCCUAUACCUUGUGCAGUUAUGUGAGUACAGCCUGUUGAAAUCCUUGCUUAGUAUAUACUAAAUUGAUCUUCAGUGUAUGAAGGUAUCUACAGUCCUACUCGGUGCCAUGGUGAUGUGAUAAAUCAGGGACACAAGGCGGAGUAGCUGGCCCCAGGACAGCUACACUAAUUCCACAGUGCAAGACAUGUAGACAGUCCAGGAGUGUUAAAGCCAGCAGAUCAAAGCAGAUGCCAGGCUGAUGCAGCUGCCCAGUAUUGGACCAUAAGCCUCCAGAACCACAAACCAAAAUCAACCUCUGCCUAAGAAGCUCCUCUCAGGUAUCUUAGUUAAGGUAACAAAAAGCUAAUAAAACCUCCAAAAUAAAAG